rnacentral:rRNA from 1 species
GACGAACGCUGGCGGCGCGCCUAACACAUGCAAGUCGAACGGAGCUGUUUUCUCUGAAGUUUUCGGAUGGAAGAGAGUUCAGCUUAGUGGCGAACGGGUGAGUAACACGUGAGCAACCUGCCUUUCAGUGGGGGACAACAUUUGGAAACGAAUGCUAAUACCGCAUAAGACCACAGUGUCGCAUGGCACAGGGGUCAAAGGAUUUAUCCGCUGAAAGAUGGGCUCGCGUCCGAUUAGCUAGAUGGUGAGGUAACGGCCCACCAUGGCGACGAUCGGUAGCCGGACUGAGAGGUUGAACGGCCACAUUGGGACUGAGACACGGCCCAGACUCCUACGGGAGGCAGCAGUGGGGAAUAUUGCACAAUGGGGGAAACCCUGAUGCAGCGACGCCGCGUGGAGGAAGAAGGUCUUCGGAUUGUAAACUCCUGUCCCAGGGGACGAUAAUGACGGUACCCUGGGAGGAAGCACCGGCUAACUACGUGCCAGCAGCCGCGGUAAAACGUAGGGUGCAAGCGUUGUCCGGAAUUACUGGGUGUAAAGGGAGCGCAGGCGGAUUGGCAAGUUGGGAGUGAAAUCUAUGGGCUCAACCCAUAAAUUGCUUUCAAAACUGUCAGUCUUGAGUGGUGUAGAGGUAGGCGGAAUUCCCGGUGUAGCGGUGGAAUGCGUAGAUAUCGGGAGGAACACCAGUGGCGAAGGCGGCCUACUGGGCACUAACUGACGCUGAGGCUCGAAAGCAUGGGUAGCAAACAGG